rnacentral:rRNA from 1 species
GACGAAGGGGGCUAGCGUUGUUCGGAAUUACUGGGCGUAAAGCGUGCGUAGACGGUUAUUUAAGUCGGGUGUGAAAGCCCCGGGCUCAACCUGGGAAUUGCAUUCGAGACUGAAUAGCUAGGGUACGGUAGAGGGAAGUGGAAUUUCCGGUGUAGCGGUGAAAUGCGUAGAUAUCGGAAGGAACAUCAGUGGCGAAGGCGGCCGGCUGGACCUGACCUGACGCUGAGGCACGAAGGCGUGGGGAGCGAACGGG